ACGGCCUACUCUAUCAAUCCAAGGAAGGCAGCAGGCGCGCAAAUUUACCCAAUCCCGACACGGGGAGGUAGUGACAAUAAAUACUGAUACAGGGCUCUUUUGGGUCUUGUAAUUGGAAUGAGUACAAUUUAAAUCCCUUAACGAGGAACAAUUGGAGGGCAAGUCUGGUGCCAGCAGCCGCGGUAAUUCCAGCUCCAAUAGCGUAUAUUAAAGUUGUUGCAGUUAAAAGGCUCGUAGUUGAACCUUGGGCCUGGCUGGCCGGUCCGCCUCACCGCGUGCACUGGUCCGGCCGGGCCUUUCCUUCUGGGGAGCCGCAUGCCCUUCACUGGGUGUGUCGGGGAACCAGGACUUUUACUUUGAACGCAAUUAGAGUGUUCAAAGCAGGCCUAUGCUCGAAUACAUUAGCUUGGAAUAAUAGAAUAAGACGUGUGGUUC
rnacentral:rRNA from 1 species